AAAAAGGAGAGAGAGAGAGAGAAAAGAAAAAAGAGAAAGGAAAGCAUGAGUAAUAAAUAAGGAUAACAACUAACAUCUGUUAGAUGGUAUUAAUGGUCUGUGUUCCAGGCGCCAUUCUAAGUGUUUCACAUUUAAGUAUUUUCUCAUUUAAUCUUCCUGGCAGCCAUUCAAGGUAGGGGCCAUUGUCAUCUCCAGUUGGCCAAUUAGAAAAUUGAGUGCUGAGACCCGGAGUCGCCUGUCUGAGGUCACACAGCUGGUCAGUAGGGCCUGGAUUCAAACCCAGGCAGUCUGAUUCAAGAGCCUGAUUGAGAUCCUGUGCUUCUGUCUGCUCUCUUCUGCUGCACCUGUCCCCACGCGAUGAAUGACAAAGCCAGGCUCAGAGAAGUUAACCAGCUUGUCGGAGAAGACCUAGGUGGUGGUUACAGUGCUACGCCAGGAACCUUGGUCUGCAUGGACCCCAGAGGCCGUGCUCACAGCCAUGCAGCUGACUGGCCUCCCACGCUUGCUGGAGGAGCUACAGCUGCUUUUCUUGUGCACGUGCAACAGUGGAAGUGAUGGCUGACUGUGUGUUGGCUCCAUAAGAAGAACAUCACAGAAAGCAAAAUGGUGCCAGCUCAACACCAGUAUCCUCGGACUCUUCAGACAGAAAAACCUGUUAAUUCCAAUCACAAUUCAUUCUUUCAUUCAGCUCAUGGAAGCCAAGCAGGGCUUUGGGACAUUCAUUCUGGCAAAGUGAAACAACUGACUUUUUGUGAAUGCUAUUUAAGUUGUUUAAAUUUUCCACAUUGGAAAUAAAGUCAUUGCAUUUUUGUGAGGAUAAAACACAAAUUGUGGUGGAGUCCAGCGUCAUGGUAACAAUAAUAUUCCUACUAAAUUAAGACACUAAUGAAACAGAAAUGUGAUUGGAACAGGUCAUGGUGCACACACAAUUUGUUAUUGCAUAUAAAUAAAUGUCAAUAUUCUAUAAAUUGACAUUUAUAGACGUACGUGACAAAAUUUACAAAAUGUUAAAACAUAUGCACAGAUUUACUGAACUACAAACUUGUGAUAAAGUUGUUCAUGAAUUUUUUUAAAAAACUGGACUUUCACAUGUGUUUUCUCUUUUAUUUUCCCAUUAUCAAUCAAUUUUAGUGGACAUUGAGUCUCAGCAUCCUAAAAUGUUAUUAAACAGUGUAUUAAAACAGA